AACAAACGCUGGCGGCGUGCCUAACACAUGCAAGUCGUACGAGAAAGGGUCCUUCGGGACCCGAGUAAAGUGGCGCACGGGUGAGUAACGCGUGGAUAAUCUGCCCUUCAGUUGGGAACAACUCAUCGAAAGGUGGGCUAAUACCGAAUAACACUGCGAGACUUUGGUCGAGCAGUCAAAGAGAGCCUCUGCUUGCAAGCCCUCGCUGAAGGAUGAGUCCGCGUACCAUUAGCUAGUUGGCAGGGUAAUGGCCUACCAAGGCGACGAUGGUUAGCUGGUCUGAGAGGAUGAUCAGCCACACUGGAACUGAGAUACGGUCCAGACUCCUACGGGAGGCAGCAGUGAGGAAUCUUGCGCAAUGGGGGAACCCUGACGCAGCAACGCCGCGUGAGUGAGGAAGGCCUUCGGGUCGUAAAGCUCUGUCAGUUGGAAAGAAAUGCCUGAGAGUUAAUACCUUUCAGGUUUGUCGGUACCAACAGAGGAAGCACCGGCUAACUCCGUGCCAGCAGCCGCGGUAAUACGGGGGGUGCAAGCGUUGUUCGGAAUUAUUGGGCGUAAAGAGCGUGUAGGCGGCCGGAUAUGUCAGAUGUGAAAGCCCUGGGCUUAACCCAGGAAGUGCAUUUGAAACUGUCCGGCUUGAGUAUGGGAGAGG
rnacentral:rRNA from 1 species